AGCAAACGUUGAGCUCCCUGAAAGGGCUCCAGGGAACAGUAUGUAUGAAAUUAUUUUGGAGAAUCCAAUAAAAAUUUUAAUCAGGUCAACAUCAUUACAGGGGAGGAAAGUGAUGGAGCUUUCUUGAUGCAGGGGAAAAAGACACGCAGGGCUGUUCACUGUUGGCAGCAUGCACACGUGCCUUGUGCACAGCCACAGCCCACGGCACAUGCACCAGCUCAAGGAUGGAGGUGCAUCUUUGGAGAUGCAGGCGAAGCUCUGACACCUUCAGGAGAACAUCCUCCUCUGCUUGUACUUUUUUCCUCUGCUCUGUCAAAACCUUCCUCUGACCCCAAAGGUUUCUCCGUUACAGAGCCCCGGGGCCGUAUGUUCAGAUACCAUCUCCACGCCGUGGGUGGUAAAGCAGAGGGACCAGCAGUUAUGUG
ensembl:lncRNA